rnacentral:rRNA from 1 species
GACGAACGCUGGCGGCGUGCUUAACACAUGCAAGUCGAACGGAAAGGCCCUGCUUGCAGGGUACUCGAGUGGCGAACGGGUGAGUAACACGUGGGUGAUCUGCCCUGCACUUCGGGAUAAGCCUGGGAAACUGGGUCUAAUACCGGAUAGGAGCCAUUUUUAGUGUGAUGGUUGGAAAGUUUUUUUCGGUGUAGGAUGAGCUCGCGGCCUAUCAGCUUGUUGGUGGGGUAAUGGCCUACCAAGGCGGCGACGGGUAGCCGGCCUGGGGGGGUGGACGGCCACGGUGGGACGGAGACACGGCCCAGACCCCAAGGGGGGGAAGAGGGGGGAAAUUGUGAACAAGGGGCGAAGGCCGGAGGCAGCGAGGCCGGGGGGGGGAGGACGGUCUUGGGGUUGAAACCUCUGUUCGCGAGGGAGGAAGCUUUUUGGGACGGUACAUAGAAAAAAAGCCCCGGCUAACUACGUG